GCCUGGGUGGCUCAGUGGGUUAAAGCCUCUGCCUUUGGCUCAGGUCAUGAUCCCAGGGUCCUGGGAUCGAGCCCCACCUCAGGCU
rnacentral:tRNA from 1 species